AUACGUAUGGAGCAAGCGUUAUCCGGAUUUACUGGGUGUAAAGGGAGCGUAGACGGCAUAGCAAGUCUGAAGUGAAAUCCCAUGGCUUAACCAUGGAACUGCUUUGGAAACUGCCAGGCUAGAGUGCAGGAGAGGUAAGCGGAAUUCCUAGUGUAGCGGUGAAAUGCGUAGAUAUUAGGAGGAACACCAGUGGCGAAGGCGGCUUACUGGACAGUGACUGACGUUGAGGCUCGAAUGCGUGGGGCGCAAACAGGAUUAGAAACCCUGGUAGUCCACGCUGUAACCGAUGAUUACUAGGUGUUUGGGACCAAAGGUCCUCGGUGCCGCCGCAAACGCAUUAAGUAAUCCACCUGGGGAGUACGGUCGCAAGAAUGAAACUCAAAUGAAUUGACGGGG
rnacentral:rRNA from 1 species